CCUUGUGUAUUAGAUACAAAUCUGCUCAGAAGCAACUACAGCACCAUGAAUACAGAGAAAGUCCAGCUACAGAGCAGUGUAUGUAACUGCUGUCUACAGGGCUGGGCACUGUUUUCUUCGAAGUGUUACUACUUCUCUAAUGAGAUGAAGAACUGGAAAGACAGUCACAGUGAGUGCAUUAAAUGGGGAGCUGACCUGGUGAUUAUAGAGAGUAAAGCGGAAAAGUGUUUCAUCAACGAACAAAUAAAAAACUUUACCUGGAUUGGACUGAGUUACUCAGCAGCUAAGGGUAACUGGCUCUAGGUGAAUGGAACCCCUCUGCAGAAAGGAUCCUGGGGGAAAGGAAAGUCAGAUGGUAAAAAUGAAUCUGGUUGUGCCGUGAGUGCCCCCUGUCUUUACUAGAAAUGUAUCUGUGAGUCUAAGCUUUAUUAAAUGCAUUGAAAUGACUGUACAUGCAGAGUAGAUUUAAGCUAUUACAUUUCUGU